rnacentral:tRNA from 1 species
GAAAUAGGUAAAUCAAGAAAGAAUUUCUAAUUCAUUUCUUUAACGAUGAGAUUUCGUUAAUAUUUCU